rnacentral:rRNA from 1 species
UUUGGAAGAAAUUGAUCCUGGCUCAGAGUGAACGCUGGCGGUAGGCCUAACACAUGCAAGUCGAACGGCAGCACAGGAGAGCUUGCUCUCUGGGUGGCGAGUGGCGGACGGGUGAGGAAUACAUCGGAAUCUACUCUGUCGUGGGGGAUAACGUAGGGAAACUUACGCUAAUACCGCAUACGACCUACGGGUGAAAGCAGGGGACCUUCGGGCCUUGCGCGAUUGAAUGAGCCGAUGUCGGAUUAGCUAGUUGGCGGGGUAAAGGCCCACCAAGGCGACGAUCCGUAGCUGGUCUGAGAGGAUGAUCAGCCACACUGGAACUGAGACACGGUCCAGACUCCUACGGGAGGCAGCAGUGGGGAAUAUUGGACAAUGGGCGCAAGCCUGAUCCAGCCAUACCGCGUGGGUGAAGAAGGCCUUCGGGUUGUAAAGCCCUUUUGUUGGGAAAGAAAUCCAGCCUGGCUAAUACCUGGUUGGGAUGACGGUACCCAAGAGUAUA